rnacentral:rRNA from 1 species
UACGGGGGGAGCAAGCGUUGUUCGGAUUUACUGAGCGUAAAGGGCGCGUAGGCGGCCAGCACAAGUCAGUUGUGAAAUCUCCGAGCUUAACUCGGAAAGGUCAACUGAUACUGUGCGGCUAGAGUGCAGAAGGGGCAACUGGAAUUCUUGGUGUAGCGGUGAAAUGCGUAGAGAUCUGGAAGAACACCAAAGGCGAAGGCAGCAUUCUGGCUCGGACCUGACGCUCAUGUGCGAAAGCUAGGGGAGCGAACGGG